AACGAACGCUGGCGGCAGGCCUAACACAUGCAAGUCGAGCGAGGACUUCGGUCCUAGCGGCGGACGGGUGAGUAACGCGUGGGAACGUGCCCUUUGCUACGGAAUAGCCCCGGGAAACUGGGAGUAAUACCGUAUGUGCCCUUUGGGGGAAAGAUUUAUCGGCAAAGGAUCGGCCCGCGUUGGAUUAGGUAGUUGGUGGGGUAAUGGCCUACCAAGCCGACGAUCCAUAGCUGGUUUGAGAGGAUGAUCAGCCACACUGGGACUGAGACACGGCCCAGACUCCUACGGGAGGCAGCAGUGGGGAAUCUUAGACAAUGGGGGAAACCCUGAUCUAGCCAUGCCGCGUGAGCGAUGAAGGCCUUAGGGUUGUAAUGCUCUUUCAGUGGGGAAGAUAAUGACGGUACCCACAGAAGAAGCCCCGGCUAACUCCGUGCCAGCAGCCGCCGUAAAAC
rnacentral:rRNA from 1 species